AGACCCGAAACCCGGUGAUCUAGCCAUGGGCAGGUUGAAGGUUGGGUAACACUAACUGGAGGACCGAACCGACUAAUGUUGAAAAAUUAGCGGAUGACCUGUGGCUGGGGGUGAAAGGCCAAUCAAACCGGGAGAUAGCUGGUUCUCCCCGAAAGCUAUUUAGGUAGCGCCUCGUGAAUUCAUCUCCGGGGGUAGAGCACUGUUUCGGCUAGGGGGCCAUCCCGGCUUACCAACCCGAUGCAAACUGCGAAUACCGGAGAAUGUUAUCACGGGAGACACACGGCGGGUGCUAACGUCCGUCGUGAAGAGGGAAACAACCCAGACCGCCAGCUAAGGUCCCAAAGUCAUGGUUAAGUGGGAAACGAUGUGGGAAGGCCCAGACAGCCAGGAUGUUGGCUUAGAAGCAGCCAUCAUUUAAAGAAAGCGUAAUAGCUCACUGGUCGAGUCGGCCUGCGCGGAAGAUGUAACGGGGCUAAACCAUGCACCGAAGCUGCGGCAGCGACACUCAGGUGUUGUUGGGUAGGGGAGCGUUCUGUAAGCCUGUGAAGGUGGCCUGUGAGGGUUGCUGGAGGUAUCAGAAGUGCGAAUGCUGACAUAAGUAACGAUAAAGCGGGUGAAAAGCCCGCUCGCCGGAAGACCAAGGGUUCCUGUCCAACGUUAAUCGGGGCAGGGUGAGUCGACCCCUAAGGCGAGGCCGAAAGGCGUAGUCGAUGGGAAACGGGUUAAUAUUCCCGUACUUGGUGUUACUGCGAAGGGGGGACGGAGAAGGCUAUGUUGGCCGGGCGACGGUUGUCCCGGUUUAAGCGUGUAGGUGUGUGUUCCAGGUAAAUCCGGUUCACUUUAACACUGAGGCGUGACGACGAGGCACUACGGUGCUGAAGCAACAAAUGC
rnacentral:rRNA from 1 species